CCAGGGCUUCCCAGGUUGGGACACAGACAGAAUCCGCACCUGCUGAAUGGCGUGGGCGUGCCUUCCCACCCUCUCGGGCCCUGCUGGCCCAGAACCUCAUUCUCAGAUGCUUCGAUACCCCAAGGUUCCUGUUGGAAUGCAGAGGCUCAGGCCCCCCUGGAGGCUCUGCUGUCACCAACCUGGAAGAGCCCAGGGAUCUGCGUUCUGAACCAGCAGGAAGGGAGUCCUCAGCCACUUCGCCCAGCGCAGCCUCCCGGGCACAGACCUGGGCCAUCGGAGUGGAGCCCCCAUCCUUCUCGGAGCCCCUGCUUGCGCCCCAUGCCUCCCUCACCUGGAAAGAACUGGACAAGACACAGCCAGGAGAAUUGAGGUCUCUGCAAACUUCCCCAGGCCCAGGUCCGAUGCCACCUCGUCACCCAGGAUUUCCCCUCCUGUGAGUUCCCGACCGCAGAGGGUGGUGCUGUCCCCACCCACUGGAGCUCCUGGAGGCGCUCUCACGAGGAGGCCAGCACGGAGCUGGGGACACAGGGCAGACUGGCUCAGUGCACGCUUCUGUCCCCUCGGCGUGGGGGUGGGGCAGCGCCACCUUUGACCUCUGCUUUGAUCUCGGCUCAGGCUUGGGGACCCUUUCUCUAUUGAGAAGACCGUCUUUAAAGGCAUAAAAUCAACACUAAGCAUUAUGGAGGAAGCCAGUUACACUGAAAUAUGGUUGUCGUGAUACUGUUUUAAAUGCUGGGCCAUUAUGUGUGUUUUCUUAACGCCUUCAAAGCAAGAGCCAGACCUCGUAAACACUGUCAUUUUGAAAUACGAUGAACAAAAGCAUCAUUUCAAGAUACCCACAACAACUGCAAUAUGACACGAGCAUUUCUGCGUUUCUAUGUUUUCUACAAAAUCAUAGGCCGGCUAAAGCCACUGGGGCGCACUGCCUAAGAAGGAGCGGCCGUUUGUCACUGUAAUUAGAGGUUAGUGAAAGGAAAGGUAGGCAGGCUUUUCCUUCGUGUUCCAGUUCUUGAACAUUCAGGAUGCACCCAAGAGACUCCUGGGGUCCCAGGAGCCCUGGUUAAGAACUCCUGGCCAAGGGGCCGGCGUUGUGGCAUAGCCUGCGAAGCUGCCACCUGCAGUGCUAGCAUCCCAGGCGGGCAUCAGUUCGAGUCCUGGCUGCUCCAGUUCCAAUCCAGCUCCCUGCAGAUGUGCCUGGGAAAACAGCGGAAGACAGCCCAAGCACUUGGCGCCGGCACGCACGUGGGAGACCCGGAUGGAGUUUCAGGCUUCUGGUUUUGUCCUGGCCUCACCCCAGCACUGCAGUCAUUUGAGGAGUGAACCAGUAGAUGGAAGAUCU